GUGGUUGUAGCUCAGUUGGUUAGAGCAUCGGUUUGUGGUACCGAGGGUCGUGGGUUCGAGACCCAUCUUCCACC
rnacentral:tRNA from 1 species